GUCAGAGUGGAGCAAGAAAGCCACAAAAGUGGUUGUAUAGUCAGGUCUUGGAAACCGGUAGUGCUUACAGCACUACUGACCAACUGACUGAAGAGCAGACUGCAGAAUUCAAAGAAACUUUUUCACUAUUUGACAAGGAUGGUGAUAGAACUAUAACAACAAAGGAAUUAGGAACUGUAAUGAGGUCUCUUAGGCAGAAUCCCACAGAAGCAGAGUUACAGGA
rnacentral:lncRNA from 1 species